UACAAUCUUCACCCCAGGUGCCGUCUGCAUGGAGUUUGCACAUUCUCCCUGUGAUUAUGUGGAUUUAUUUCAGGUCCUCAGGUUUCCUUCCCACCCUGAAGGCAAGAGAGUCAAGAGUGUUUAAUUAUCGCUCGCUCCAGGACCAGAACAAUGUUCAGGAGUAAAGAGUCAAGAGAGAAGUCAAGAGCAUUUAAUUGUCGAAUGCAUGGCAUGAUGAAAUUCUUCCUUGUUGCAGCGUUACAGGCACAUUGAAUGCAACAACGCAACAAAUGUACAAUGAACAAUUAUACAAUAAAUGAUCACUUAUACCCAGCCCAUAAUAGUGCAAUCCAAAGUUCACAAUGCUGCCUUUUAUGAAGUCCAUAGUAGUUCACUGCUGAGUUAAGAUGGACAUUGGUUUGAAAGGUUAAUUAGCCACUGUAAAUUGCCGCAAGUGUGUGGGUGAAUACAAGAACUGGACGAAGCUGAAGAGAAUUCAAGGAGAAUAAAAUGGGAUCGCUGGGGAAAUGGGUGCAUAAUGGUCAGCAUGCACUUCAUGGGCUGAAGGGCCUGCAUCUGUGUAUGAAUCUAUGAACUAGUCAUUUUACACUUAUAUUUGUGGGAUCCUGCUGUAGGUUUUGCAUUUCACACGUCAUAAAAGUGACUGCACUUCAUAAAGUAUUUAAUUGUCCAUUAGAGCUUUGGGACAUCCUGAGGCAGCGCAAAUGGCUACAGAAACAAAAGUUCCCCUUUUUCACUGGGGAACUUAUAGCAACCUGUAGAAACAGACAGAAUUAAGUUAAAUGAUUUUGGAAUCUGAUUAAAGCUAGAAUCCACCACAGCAUAAGCAGGAACUGGAUCAGGUCCAAUUGAGAUGGCAUUAAAGGAUCUCACAGCAUCAGGCGGUGCCAAAGUGGCUCUGGAAGGGGCUCAGAGAGAGGACAUUCUUAUCCUAUCCAUUUGCCCAGGUUUUAAACUUUUUUUGCUUCUCCUCAAAGGUCCCAAUGCUCUGACUGUGGUGCAGAGUGCAUUGGAGUUAGGGUUAAGACACAGGUUAUGGUUACAAACCAUGGCGGGCUGAGUAGACCAGAUGGCUCCUCCUGUCCACUGCAGUCUUAAGCCGUGCAAUCCUUCAUCAACCUUCCCUCUGAUCCUAACGUCAAUGGCCAGUGGCUGGGAAUGCUGACAGUUGAUUUACAGCUGGUAAAAGUGCCACGCCGCUGCCUGAGCCCUAAGAGCAAGCAGCUGUGCUCCACACCACUCGACUGAUCAGAGGUGGCCAGGCUGUGUGUUCGCUCUCCCUUUGGAACCUAUGUGCACCUGCCCAGCUUCAAAGCACAUCUGCUUGCCAGAGAACAGAGGACAUAAAUCCAGUUGUUGGCUUUCACUCUGCCCCGGAAACAGCUGGAUGAUCACACUGUGCGGAGAGCUCAAAUUGAGCAGCUUGAGCCGAUACCAGUAUUUAAGAGCUGUUUAGAUAGUCACAUGAAUAUGCAGGCCUUGAAGUGGUAUGGAUCAUGUGGAGGCUGAGGACCUGGUAUCAUGUUGGGCACAGAUGCUGCCUGACCAGCUGAAUGUUACCAGCGUUUUCCGUUUUGUUUCAGACUGCCAGUAUCUGCUGAUUUUGUUUUAAUCCACCAACGUGAGGAGCAAAGAGAAUGAGCAACAAAGGCCAGUCUUGCAGCCACACUCAGAUUCUGAAAAAUCAAAGCAUUAAAUAAAGUUGUCCUUGUGUGGCUCAUUGUCCAUUUUUAUUUGAUUGUGUUUCGUGUCAAAUGCUUCACUUUGCGGCUGCUGCUGGUGUUAAAGAGUUGCUGAGCCAUGUGUAGGAAGAUGUCCACUCUAAGCUGGUAACUCAUUGUGACUUUCAACCAUUGCACAGAAUGACCUGUCCCAGGAAUGCAAACGGUUUCCAAGGUAGCGGAUACCUGGCUCUACCACGUCAAUUAUCACUGCCGCUUCCUAACACAAAGGCACGAGGCGGAAGGGUUACAGAAAUAAUGUUUUCACAGCUUUAGACAGUGUAAAAAUCAAUUCAACGAUCAAUCCAAUUAUUGACAUACUUUCCCUGUGUGACCUGUCAACAAUCAACUCCUCAGCCACUGGCAGGCAGUAAUUGCUAGCAAAUCUCACUCUGUGCCGGUUUUAGCUUAAAAUAUGAGGUCUGGUCAGUAAUUAACUAGCCCCAGGAGCAGAUGGGGGAGUGAACACUGCUUUACAGCAACAGCUUUGCCCUUCUGAUGUUCUUAUAGAGUCAUACAGGACCCAAGCAUUUCACCCCACUGACCAUGUAAUGCUCACUCACACUCAUCCUGUUUUACUCUUGCCACAUUCCAAGAACACGGGCAGGAGUAGGUCAGGCCCUUCAAGCCUGGUCCACUAUUUAAUAUGAUCAUGGCAGAUCAAUGCUGGCCUCAGCUCCACUUCUGUGACAUUUCUCUCUACCCCUCUAGUCUGUCUGUCUGUCUGCGGAGGGCGCUCAGCAUCGCCAAGGACUGCUCUCACCCCAACCAUGGACUGUUUACCCUCCUACCAUCCGGGAGGCGCUACAGGUCUCUCCGUUGCCGUACCAGCAGGUCGAGGAACAGCUUCUUUCCGGCGGCUGUCACUCUACUCAACAACGUACCUCGGUGACUGCCAAUCACCACCCCCCCCCCGGACACUUAUUAUUAUUUAUUCAAAUCGUUUGCUAUGUCGCUCUUCCAGGGAGAUGCUAAAUGCAUUUCGUUGUCUCUGUACUGUACACUGACAAUGACAAUUAAAAUUGAAUCUUGAAUCUUGAA